UCACGGUCUCAAGCGUGGCUUGAUGUUGGGCCCUGUCACCUGGUGACAGGUCCGAAAGACAAUGACCGGCGUCACAGACUCCCGAUGCAACGAGCUUAUCACAGCAGGCAUCGGGCGGUUGUGUGACCCGGUUUCCACCCUUUCUUUCUCCA
rnacentral:misc_RNA from 1 species